rnacentral:lncRNA from 1 species
CGGUGUCUUCCGUACCUCUCCAACCAUCAACCUUCAACAAUGCCAAUCGGACUUCAAUAGUGCCAACCAGACCCCUCGAACGGACAAAUUUCCUCCGGACCCCUCCAGCGGUCGAUCUUCCACAGUGUCCUCCAGAUUCCUCCAGCAAUCGACCUUCCACAGUGUCCUCCAGACUCCUCCAGCGGAUGAACUUCCACAAUGCUUUCUGAAUUUCGCUAUCGGUCGACCUUCUGUCGGAUUUCUCAUGCAACCGGACCUUUCCAGCGGACAGUCUUCAGACAAGCUUCUACAUCAGACAAAUUCCAGAUGGACUUCUCUAGCAAUCGGACUCCAACCGAAUUUUUUUAAUAGAAAGUUUCCGUCCGGACUUCUAAAGCAGAUGACUUCCGUCUGCAGCAUCAACGCCUAAGGCACCCAACAACAGUUAAUCCGUCAGCAACCUCGGAAACAUCCGAGCUUCUCUUAGAUUGCUGAGACAGAGAGCUAUUCCGCUCCACC